UUUCUGCUCUCUGCCUGCAACCAACCGUGUCAAAACAACAACUGUACAACUGUAGGAUCUUAGAGAAUAUUUUAAAGUUUCCUUGAUAAUUAUUGAAAUUCUAACGUAUGUCUGUUUAAAAUAGCAUUCUUUCAACACAACUUUAUAUUUUCUAAUUGCGUGAAUGUGCUAUUAGUGUUACAUUUAUCUGACUACAAACGUAAGUGCUCUUGACUCUAGCAGAGCUUCUGUCUGUCUGUCUUGUCAAAAGAUUGAAAAGAACAACUGUCAGAUUCUAGUGUUAAUUUUUAUAAGUUUCCUUGAUAAUUAUUGUAAUUCCAAGUAUAUUUGCUCAAAAUAACAGUUUUUCAACAUGAUUUUAUAGUUUCUAAUUACGUGAAUGUGCUAAGAGUGCAAUAUUUAUCUGAAUCUGAACCCACAAACGUUAAGUGCUCUUGACUCAUGACUAUGAACUGAUGUGCUCAAAAGUUGACUGAAUUUUUGUUCUAUCAACAUUUUAGAUGUGUCAGCAACGCAUCGAUUGGAGCUUGGCUACUGAUUCACUCCUGUCAUGGACCACAGCAAACAAGUAUGGCACUUGACAGGUAUGGAUCAACAAAUUGGUGGAGGAGAGGAAGAGGAGAUACUUGAGACGAGUUGUGCAAUGUAUUGCUGACGCCAGAUUGCUGGAGGUUGAGAUACAUGGAUGCUGAUUUAUGAGCUGCCAUCUUGGUGUGACCUGAGUCAUAGACCGACCAGAGCAGAGCCUUGACGUGUGCUUGUUGACAACAGCUGGUGAGUCUU